GGAAAACACCCCAUGGAUAAAUAGGUUCACACCUCAUAAGGGCUUCCAGCGCUUUGAGGCUCUGGAGCAGAGUGAUUGGUUGAGUCCGAGCCAGGCUUCCCGUCAGAGGUUCCUGUUCAUCACCAUCUUGGACAAAAAGGUGACUCUUUACAGCUACAACUGGUCUGUGGACCU